CCCGCCUCUUUCCCCUGCAAAUCCCAAAUCCCUAAUUCCCAAAUCUCCAUUGCUAAAUCUCCCUCUGUGAUACUCCCGGCCAUCUCCCAUCCAUCGCUUUUGCUGCCUCAACGCUGUCGCCACCUCCUCGCUACCUCAAUGCCAUUGCCACCUCCAGCUUUAUCGCGACCUCCUCGCUGCCUCUACGCCCGCCGCCUCUGCCUCCUCGCCCACUUUAUCCAGGGUUCUUGUGCAAGGUCCUGGAUUAGGGCCAUGUUAUGGCCACGUUAUGGCUCUUGUAGGGCAAAGGUACCUGAUGGCAAUUUGUGGAAAUGAUGGCAAGCGACCCUUGGCUGAUGUGUGGGCACUUGACACAGCUACAAACAUGCAUGAACAUGAAUUGGACAUGCCAUGGAUGUGAAUGUGCUUUCACUAUAGUUUUUAUUACUUUUUUUUUCCAGUAAGUAUUUUUUUUUUUUUUUUACUUUGUUUUGGGGAUACAUUACAAAUAUAACACAUUUUGGGUAAAGUAUAAAAACAUACUGAUCCUAGUUUGACUCUAAUAUAAUUAUCCUUUUUAUGUUUAUGGAUUUAGUGCUGCAUUUAUGUUGGACUAACAUUCUUUUUAGUAGUUUGUACAUUAUCAUUAUUAUAUAUAAAGUGCCAUGUUCAUAUUAGAUUGGUGGGGUUAUUUCAAUAUUUUUAUUACUUUUUGGUUAUUAUAUUUAUGAACACUAUAAAUAAAAUGAAUAGUAUUAUUUUUUUCAUUGUUUCCAUAUCUCUAUUUAUUUUAACUUUUUUCAAAUAAUCAAAUUUCAUGUUCAUUGGCGUAUUCAUUUCUGUACCUCUAUCAUAUUGCUAUCUUGGUACUUUUAAUUUUAUACCGAUGUUGGGUCUUACCUCCCCUUCUUGAGCAAUUGUCAAAGUUAUUUUAUUUUGUCAAAACACCAAAUUGGGGCAAAUUGAUUCACAAAAAACAUAAAGAAAAAGAAAUUUUUCUCUUUGCUCUGCUAUGCUCUCUCUCUCUCACAUGGUAAACUGAAUUCAUGUGUUUGUUUAUUACAAGAUAUGGUUUUUAUACUAUUAUUUUUUAUUUUUUUGAGGAUAUUUUAAAUCGAAUAAGCUUAAGGGAAAAAUGAGAAAUAAGGCUACGUCACAUACUAACUUAAACAACAUAUCUUGUAAAGCACCAUUUACUCGUGCAUUCCCUCUAUUAAAUUCUGACAUAAAUUGUAUAGUUUUACUUUAUAAUAACUUAUAUUUUUAAAAAAAUAGGCUGAUCGAACCAUGGGGCAAUUACUUGAUGAUAUUUAAAUAGGUUGAGAAUUUAUUAACAAUGAUGUUUGUGGAACUAUAUGACGAGAAUAUCAUGACAUAAAAUUUUUAGUGACAGGCUGGGUGAGUUAUCUAUAAUUUUUAGUGAUGCUAUUUUCUUGAUAGACUCUCUUCGCCAAAAGUUUUUGGUGAUGAUAUUGUAUUGCAGUAAAAGAGUUUUUGCAAUGAGAUGCUUUUAUCACAAAAACUUUUUAUCACAAGUAUUUUACUAACCAUCACAGGAUAUUUUCUAUGAGGACUUCACUUUAUCACAAAUACCUUUUGGUGAUUAUGUGUUUUGUCACAAAAACUUUCUCAUAAUGAACAAUUUUGUCUUUUGGUGAGGAGAUAACGUCGUGAGGUAGUUUUGGUGAUGAGAUAAAAAAAAUUUGUGAGCAUUAAUGGUAGUCACAAAUAUGUUAUAGUGAUGGAAAUUUUUAUGCCAAUAGUGAUGAAUUAUUGGUGACUAGAUAUGAAGAGACAAUGAUCUUAGGUGAUGAGUUGGGCGAUGAGUUUUUUCGUCACCAAUAAUGCAUUUAUUGUGAUGAAAUAAUUAUUUCGUCACCAAAGAUAAUCGGCGGGGGACCUAUGGUGAUGAGUCCGUGACGAAUACUUGAUCAUCACUGAAAAUAUUGAGUGAUGAAAUUCUAUCUUUUUGUGACCACCUAAGGUCAUCACAGAAGGCCAAUUUUCUUGUAGUGCGAUUCGGUAUUCUUCUAUACUGCGAUGAAGUCUCGGUUUGCAUAUCUAAUGACACUUUUGCCACAAAUUUUCACACGAACUACUAAACCUAGCCUAUAAAAUUUUUCUAGGAAUUUUUGAUAUUUUUCUCUAUAUUUUUUUUUCUUAUUUUCUUUCUUUCUCUUUGUUAAAUCUCUCUCUAAGUCUCAAAUCUUUUUUCUUACAAUCUUUCUGUAGUUCUUGAGACCACCACACACUUACAGCAAACUACCCCUCAAGACUCACUGAUUAUAUCCCCAAACAAUAUACACACAAUCACUCGAUAGAAAGAACAAAAAUAGGAAUAGAACAUAGCAAGAAAACACAACAAGGGACAUAAGA